UUGAGAAUUAUUUAUUUAAGUGAUGCGCAAUUAGCUGAGAUGAGCCUCGUUGCCAUGGUGACGAAGCGAAUCCAAUACAAACAAACAAAGCGUUAUCGAGAAAAACAUUAAUUUUGAAAUUAAGAUUAAUUAAUAACAUUUUAUUCAUAAAGUAAAGACAACAAAACUGUUUGUUGCAUAAAUUUGUUAAUAUCAAUAUUCAUUUCAGAGAAAGCUGUUGAAACACACUAUGAGGAGAGGAAUUAAAAUAAAUAUGGGGUGAAGAAUAUCGAAUGAGACAUGUUAGGAAGAUCCAAUUUAGCUGCGAUAACAAAAUUAUUGGAAUCGAAUUAAGCUGGAAAUAUGACGAGGUACGCUUUUCAUGACUGGGUGUUAAAAUUCCUUUUUUUAUCAAAAUCAUUUCGAUUUUGACACCUUCAUCUUAAAAUUAUGGAUUUAGACGAUCUUAUCACCAUAUUUAUUUUCAUGGUCUAUUUCUGCAUCAUGCUGCAAGGUUGAGAGUGUAAUAACUGUUUUCUUGUGUUUAGGGGUUUUCUUUGUUGCGAAAAACUAGCAACUUCUUAACUCUCCAUCACUGUUCCCUUCUAAUUAACAAGGAUCAUGUGGAACAUGUUAAAAAAUAGAAAUUUGAUAUGAAUUGAAAUAAUUUUUUAAAGUGAGGUUAUGUCUGUUUUGUAAAUGUCAAAAUUUGGGUAAACAUAACCUAUAAUAAUGAAGAUUUAUUUUAAUGGUUUAAAUCUAAAGUUAUAACAGAUAUUUUUUCUUAUCAUCUUCAAUUCUAACAUUCCCACAUAAAAUAAUAAUCAAUAUAACAUGUACUAAUAGCUCUUCUGGAGUAUUCGUAUCAAAAGGUAUUCGA